AGGGAAUCUUCGGCAAUGGACGGAAGUCUGACCGAGCAAUGCCGCGUGAGCGAAGAAGGUCUUCGGAUCGUAAAGCUCUGUUAUGAGGGAAGAAGAGUAUCGAUAGGAAAUGCUCGAUGCGUGACGGUACCUCAUGAGCAAGCCACGGCUAACUACGUGCCAGCAGCCGCGGUAAUACGUAGGUGGCAAGCGUUGUCCGGAAUUAUUGGGCGUAAAGGGUGCGUAGGCGGUCAAUUAAGUCUAAUUUGAAAGUCCAUGGCUCAACCAUGGGAUUGGAUUGGAAACUGGUUGACUUGAGGAUAAGAGAGGAAAGUGGAAUUCCACGUGUAGCGGUGAAAUGCGUAGAGAUGUGGAGGAACACCAAUGGCGAAGGCAGCUUUCUGGCUUAUCCCUGACGCUGAGGCACGAAAGCGUGGGUAGCAAAC
rnacentral:rRNA from 1 species